rnacentral:lncRNA from 1 species
GCCUUACUCACUCUACUGUAAAAUCCCUGAAGGAUCCAGCCAUAUUUGGAGUCUGCUCUACACUGGAACAUCUUUUUUUUUUUUUUUUUAGAUGGAGUUUUGCUCUUGUCGCCCCGGCUGGAGUGCAGUGGUGCGACCUCAGCGAUCUCAGCGAUCUCAGCGAUCUCAGCUCACUACAACCUCUGCCUCUUGGAUUCAAGCAGUUCUCCUGCCUCAACCACCUGAGUAGCUGGGAUUACAGGCGCCUGCCACCACGCCUGGCUAAUUUUUGUAUUUUUAGUAGAGAUGGGGUUUCACCAGGUUGGUCAGUCUGGUCUCGAACUCCUGACCUCAGGUGAUCCACCCACCUCGGCCUCCCAAAGUGCUGGGAUUACAGGCGUGAGCCACCAUGCCCAGCCUACACUUGGGCUUCUUAGGCACAAGAUCCAGUAAGCCCUCCCUCCUCCUCCCCACCCCUUUUUUCUUUACACUAGUGUUUUCUGUAAUCCUGCAACAGAAAGAGUCCUAAC